AUCUCUGGGUACUUGUAUUUAUUUUAUUUAAUGUGUUAAUUUAUACUUAGGUAGUGUGUGUGAAUGGAAUGCGAUAUAAUCUUUUUAAGGAGGUGUGGGACUAUAUUGGACACUCUAUUGGGAUCUGGAGUCAUCAAAAGGUUAAGAACCACUGGCAUAGGGGUUACAAAGCAAAUUACAAGCAUACCACAUUAUUAUGGUGGUUUGUUUUACAUCAGUAAUCUGGAACAGAUUACUGAUGUAAAACAAAUCACUUCCUUUUUUUCAUUUACUAAUGCAUAUAAAAGCCUAAAAAUAUAUUUAUACUAUUAUUAAGUGUGC
rnacentral:lncRNA from 1 species